ensembl:processed_transcript 1810026B05Rik RIKEN cDNA 1810026B05 gene
CGGCCGCGCGCGAUGUGGGAGCUCGCGGCCGGAGCGCCCGGGGAGGCCGGGCCCACGACGCCCGUGGCUCCGCUGCGGCAGCGGCGGUGCUGGUGUCGCGCGCGGCCGGGAGGCGGCUUCGCGCCGCGGGCGGGAGGCUGCGGCGGGCGACCCGUCCUGGACACGCGAGGAAGAGCGAGCCGAUGGCGGCAGGGGCCGCGCUUCGACCCGGUAACUUAGAAGAUGAUAAUUAAUGUGGUUGCUGAUAAUUCUGAAUAAAUACAGCUUUUAUCCCAGAAAUGUGAAUCCUCAGAUGGAAUGAAAGGCCUGCACCAUAGACAUCGAAGCAUUUACACCCCGCUUGAAGAGUUUGAAAUGGACUUUACCACUGAGAAAUCAAGAUGGCAGCCCAUUAUGGGGAAUUGAGGAA